GUUGAUUGAAUAAUCUGCAGGAUGCAUGAUGGCUUCGAUAUGUGAAGAUUAGGCCACAUUGUGAACCACAUUUUGAGCAGCAAAAGAGUCAAUUGUCGUGGAUAGAUUUAACCCAUUUCGUCCGUAAAUGAUAACAGUUUUCAUUCUUCGGAAUCGUCAGAGUUCAGAAUCAGCAUUCGUAGGUCGUGGUCUUGAACUAAAUGGUCGAUUACUGACACAUCACGUGAGGUUGGUUAAACCCCCGCAAGGUGGCAGCAGCAAUAAAGUGAUUUCCUCCUCUUAAUUCAAACAGGUCUAACUUGUUCCAUGACGUGCUGAUGUAUUAAACUGGUAAAUCUGAUAAGAUUCAAAAUUUGAGAGCAACCAUGCCCGUCAGAAAAGUGGAAACCCAAAUUGUUUUUUUUGGUUGUCUAAAGUAACUGGAUAAAAAUGUAGGGCAAACAAAGCAGAGGCCAUUGCAAAUUCCAGUUACUUGUUUUUUCUCUCCUCCCCCCAAAAAAAAAAUGACAAAUAGAAAAAUAUGUUGAUAACUGAAACUAAAUUUAUUCUCCCGUAUGCUCGAACAGUUUUGGCUGAAAGAAAUUUGAAAAAAAGUAACUGUUCACGACCAGAGGGAUCAACGAGCCAUUGGAAAAGAAAAGAUGGCACACCAGACGGGUAGAUUGCAAUUGUGUUUUCGUUGACUAACGCCAUCAAUUCUCAGACGUAAUUCCAUGAGUGGCAAGCAUCAACG